rnacentral:rRNA from 1 species
ACAACUUUCAGCGACGGAUAUCUCGGCUCAGGCACCUAUGAAGGGCGCAGCGAAGCGCGACAGUCUUUGUGAAUUGCAGAUCUCCGUGAACCAAUGGCCCCCUGAACGCGCAUUGCACUCUUGGGACUUCCUGAGAGUAUGUUUGCUUCAGUGCUU